UUUGUGUUUGUGACAUUUUCAGACAUUUCUUAGAGAUUCUGAUGACUUUCUGAGGUCACUUUUAGAACCACUCUGUGGCUCUAUAAAAUAGUCAGCUUAGCCCAGUGUUUCUUACCGAUGGGACAGGACUUCUGUAGUCACAGGCUUCACCACACCAGCCUGCUUUUCACAUUUGUGUAACUCCCUGGUUUCUGCAACCGUUUUAUUGCCAACUGCUGAAAGGCCAUUCCACUUACAUUUUUCAUUAAGGAGCUACCUCAGAAACCCUGGAUUUAGAGCACAAAUCCUAGCUGCAAGUGCCACUUCAUUCAGAGUGAUUUUUGAGAAAGACAUAUGUACAAAAGAAGAGAGUAGACAGAGGUACUUACAUAAACGUAAAUAGCUAUCACUGGCUUGGGUUUUGGCAUCUCCAAGUCUCAGCAGGUAAUCCUUGUGAGCUACGCUGGAUUAAAUGUGAAAAGAACAGGAUAUCUGGGACCUGCAUGUAAUAACACCAACUGAUUUUAAGCAAGAUUUGAGGUAAAAUCGAAUUGGUCUUUGGAAAGCUGAGACAUCAGGAGUGCAAGAGCAGCUUGAGCAACAUGGUGGAAUCCCAUCUCUACUAAAAAUACCGAAAUUAGCCCAGCAUAGAGGCAUGUGCUUGUAGUCCCAGUUACUUGGGAGGCUGAGAUGGGAGGAUAGCUUGAGCCUGGAAGGUCAAGGCUUCAUCAAGCCUGCAAUGAGUCAUGAUCUGACUACUGCACUCCAGCCUGGGGAACAGAGUGAGACCCUACCGCAAAAUGAAAACAAACAAACAACAACAAAAACAAAAACAGAGAAAAGAAAAGAAGAAAAAAAAUCUAAUUUGAUAUUGAAUGGAAAGUUGGUGUGUAAGCAAAAAGGAACAGAAGCCGUCAGUAAAGCAGGGCAUAAAUGUGCUCUUAGCAAACCAAAAGCAAUUCUCAUGGGUCAGUUGCGGAAGAACUUGCAAGGAAUUUGGAAUCAGAAGACAGAAAUUCAUUCUUGGCUCUGCCACUCACAUGUGAUCUUCUACUUGUUAGCUAAAUUUCUAGUGCCUAAAGCAGCCAGAUAACCCUCAAUGAGCCCUUGUGUCAUCCCUUUCCUCCCAGGAUAAGGUUUCACCUUUGUGGCCAAUAGUGCAUGGCAGAAAUAAUGUGCUGACACUUGUAAGAUUAGGUGAUAAAAACAGGCUUCUGUUAGAGGCAUGUAUUCCUUCUCUCUUACUCACUUUAGGGGAAGUCAGCUGCCUUGUCUUGAGGAUACUCAGGCAACUCUGUAGAGAAGCUUAUGUGGCAAGAAACCGAAAGUUUCAGAGAACAAGGAAAUGAGGACUCCAGCCAUUUGCUUCUCGGAAGCAAAGACUGAAUUUCCAACCAGUGCUUUACAUGAUGAUGCAGUGAUCAAAACAUCAUGAGUAACUGAACAAAAACCAUCCAGCGAUGCCAUUCUGGGAUUCCUGACACUCGGAAGUUGUAAAAUACACAUGAAUAAAUAUUUCUUACACAGUACCUCUCUUGUACAGCCUCAUCUCUAAAAAUAAGAAUAAUGGUUUCUUCACAGAGUCUUGGAGGGUUCAAAAGAGAGCAAGUUGCAAACUAUAAAGUAUCAGUACAAAUGCUAAUUACUAAAUGUAUUUCACAAGUCCAUUUACCACCUUCAGGUUUCCUGGGUGCUCUAAGAUUUCCCUUAUUUCUCCUUAAUAAAUCACCAAGAGUUACU
ensembl:lncRNA